CCCCCCCCCCCCCCCCCCCACCAAAAAAAAUGUUUUUAUGGAUGGACUACCUGGACAUGAAAGAACCAUGGAGACUAAAUAAUAAUAAUAAUUGAAUAAAUGGUCUAGUGGGCCUCUUCCAUCCCUCUGUAAACGGAGACAAAAAAUAUGAAAUGUUUUUAAAAAAAAUAAGUUUUCUUUUGAACAGGUUUUUGUCUUCCAAUUACCUGAAAGUCUGAAUCUUGUUAAGAGAUCGACUGUCACUCAGACGAAGCAUGAAUGGGGGAGUUUUGAAGAAGUUAAGUCCAAUGAAUGCAGGGACUAAAACCUAAAGACAUGAUAAGUGACAGGUAGAUAAUAGCUAGCCCACUAGGAGACAUGAUAAAUGACAGGUAGAUAAUAGCUAACCCACUAGGAGACAUGAUAAAUGACAGGUAGAUGAUAGCUAGCCCACUAGGAGACAUGAUAAAUGACAGAUAUUUUUUCUCGCUACAGGCUUCAACACUCAGUGGUUCUGUAAGCUUUUGUGGCCUACCACUUUGUGGCUGAGCUGUUGUUGCUCCUAGACAUUUCCACUUCACAAUAACAGCGUUGACCGGGGCAGCUUUAGCAGUGCAGGAAAAAAUGUGUGUGUAUAUAUGUAUAGUUCCCAACUACAAAUAGGCUGAUGGCUACACUGUCCUCACAACUACAUAUAGGCUGAUGGCUACACUGUUUCCCAGCUACAUAUCGGCUGAUGGCUACACUGUUUCCCAGCUACAUAUCGGCUGAUGGCUACGCUGUUCCCCCGCUACAUAUAGGCUGAUGGCUACACUGUUUCCCAGCUACAUAUCGGCUGAUGGCUACGCUGUUCCCCCGCUACAUAUAGGCUGAUGGCUACACUGUUCCCCCGCUACAUAUAGGCUGAUGGCUACACUGUCCCCAGCUACAUAUCGGCUGAUGGCUACACUGUUUCCCAGCUACAUAUCGGCUGAUGGCUACACUGUUCCCCCAGCUACAUAUAGGCUGAUGGCUACACUGUUCCCCAGCUACAUAUAGG